UACGUAGGGGGCGAGCGUUGUCCGGAAUUAUUGGGCGUAAAGCGCGUGCAGGCGGUUUGUUAAGUCUGUGGUGAAAGCCCGGGGCUCAACCCCGGAAUGGCCGCGGAGACUGGCAGACUGGAGUGUCGGAGAGGAGUGCGGAAUACCAGGUGUAGCGGUGGAAUGCGUAGAGAUCUGGUGGAACACCGAUGGCGAAGGCAGCACUCUGGCCGAAUACUGACGCUGAGACGCGAAAGCGUGGGGAGCGAACGGG
rnacentral:rRNA from 1 species